CACAUCUAUCCCAAAAAACAUCGAUUUGGGAUGAAGAGGAAACCUUCUAGUGUAGGAAAUGAUUUACCUGAAUUAUGGUUAGAGGACCAUUUUGACCCCUGAUGGCAUGCAUGAAGACCCUGGUGGGCUGGGGGCCGCGGUGCACUCUGCGUGCAGGUCUGCUCGUCCCGGGGCCAGAUGGUGCAGGGCAGGGGCAGAUAGAG